rnacentral:lncRNA from 1 species
GGGGGUGGUCUGGAGCCACCUCUUCUGUCUCUGCAAUACUUCCUGUGCAAUUUGAGUCUGCACAGGUCCCCCUUUUCCCCCGCCCUUCUCUCCGGUGACGCAACAGUACGAAUGGGGGAGGGUCACAUUUCUCAGCUCGUCCCUUUCUGCAAACUGUUACCAGAAGGGACCCUCUAGAUACUGAAAGGCCACUCUCAGGUCUCCCCGGAGCCUUCCCUGUUCCAGGCUGCACAGUCCCAGCUCUCGCAUCCUGUCCUUGUAGGAGAGGUGUUCCAUCCCUCUGAUCAUUUUUGUGGCCCUCCUCUGGAUGCAUUCCAACAGGUCCAUGUCUCUCCUGCACUGAGGACUCCACAUCUGGACACAGGAUUCCAGGUGAUACGGAGAAGAUUUCCCAUUAUCUUGCUGAGAAAAAAACGAUCUGAGUAGAACCCAACUGGGCUGAGCUAUGAAGUGAGGAGUUCUGUAGCGAAAAAAGAACAACAAAUUCCAUACUGUGCA